ACAGCAGCCGCCGCGGUAAUACGUAGGUGGCAAGCGUUGUCCGGAAUUAUUGGGCGUAAAGCGCGCGCAGGCGGAUCAGUCAGUCUGUCUUAAAAGUUCGGGGCUUAACCCCGUGAUGGGAUGGAAACUGCUGAUCUAGAGUAUCGGAGAGGAAAGUGGAAUUCCUAGUGUAGCGGUGAAAUGCGUAGAUAUUAGGAAGAACACCAGUGGCGAAGGCGACUUUCUGGACGAAAACUGACGCUGAGGCGCGAAAGCCAGGGGAGCGAACGGGAUUAGAUACCCCUGUAGUCCCUGUCUCUUAUACA
rnacentral:rRNA from 1 species